AUGCUAGCCCCACACCACGGCCCUUAUCAGCCAAGCUAUCCACCUCCUGUCCACAUGUCCACCUUUAACAAUUCCCAGCGGCGCAGGCACGCCCAGGGCAGCCCUGCCACGGGCUCAGCCGUGAACACCCUGUACCAGGACGGUGAGUUAACAUGGAAGGCUUUAUAUGUUGCUGUAAAAGUGAAAAGCUCUGUUGAUGUUUCGAUAUAUUGAGGAUGAUUUGAGGAGGUAAGUGGAGCCGGUUGGUGGGUUUGACUCCCAGCCGAAAGGUUCAGGGUUCGAACCCCGAUGUACUGCGGUCAUGCCAGCCGACUCAUCGAGAUCGGCGGUCAAGCCAGCCGACCCAGUUUUUUGCCGUACCUGUAUAUACUAGCCAUUACGGUAAUAGCGUCUCAGAACUAGUUUAAAGUAAAAGCAUUCGUCGGGUACAUACAAAAAGACAGUCAAAAAAAGCAAAUACUAUCAAAGGAAGUGUACGGCCGUUGUGGUAUUUACUUUCAAAAUAAAAGCCAACCAAACAUUCCAAUCUGAGACAUAUUACAAAUGAUUUUGGAUUCGAUUUAAAAGAAAAUGCCCUAUUAUUCCAUGCUCAUUUCACUUCAGGGUUAUAGUUCACAACCCCAUAGGGUCACCCAAGAAGUUCCAGAACAUUCUGAUGUGGAGUUUCAAAAUAAAAGCCCACCAAAAAAUCCAAUAUGAGACAUAUUACAUAUAAUUUUGGAUUCAAUUUAAAAGAAAAUGCCCUGUUAUUCCAGGCUCAUUUCACUUCAUGGUUAUAGUUCACGACACCAUAGGGUCACCCAAGAGGUUUCAGAACAUUCUGAUGUGGAGUUUCAAAAUAAAAGCCCACCAAAAAUUCCAAUAUGAGACAUAUUACAUAUGAUUUUGGAAUCAAUUUAAAAGAAAAAGCCCUGUUAUUUCAGGCUCAUUUCUAUUCAGGGUUAUAGUUCACGACCCCAUGGGGUCAGGCAAAAGGUUUCAGAACAUUCUGAUGUGGAGUUUCAAAAUAAAAGCCAACCAAAGUUUCCAAUAUG
rnacentral:lncRNA from 1 species